UGAACUGUGGUGACACUUGCCGGCCCUGGCUCACCUACUCCCUCCAGCACUGUGAGGACCGGCUCAUAACAACAAAGACUGCCACAGACCGGAUGCUGCUGGACCGGAUGCUACUGAGAGAGAUAUGAGAUAUGUGUUUUCCCCCUGCAAAAGGCAUUGGAGAUUUUAUUUCAUGUUUUGCUUUAGUUAACAGUGAGUACAACAUGUCAUUUACAAGCUGAACAUCACGCAGCCUUCCAAAGCUUCUCUGUGUCCAGUGGCACUGGACAGAAGAUGAUUUUCUGGCUUGCAGAAGUAUUUAAGAACUGGUUGCGGCGGAUGGCCAUCCACAUGAUCCGGGAUCUGCUCAAGGUUUCUGCCACAGGCAGUUUUUCCUUGCCACCGUUGCCAAGUGCUUGGUCAUGCUGGGAAUUGUAGUGGAGAUCGUGAAAACUGUCAUCAGAGAACUUAUUAAAGACUUUGUUACAAUGUUC